rnacentral:rRNA from 1 species
GUCUAUGGCCAUACCACCCUGAAUGCGCCCAGUCUUGUCUGAUCUCGGAAGCUAAGCAGGGUCAGGCCUGGUUAGUACUUGGAGCGGAAAGACUAAAGGAUCAUUGAAA